CAUAGGUCGUUCCCAGGAAGGGAUGACUUGGUGUUAAGCACUCAUUCUCCCAUCCAGUGCCAGAUUCAGGGCAGAGGGUCCAGAGAAAGUCCCUGCUGCCUCAGCGCGGGUUGGAAAGUCUGGUGUUUCCCCUUCCCGCACUGGGCUCCACGCCCCCCCUGACUAACGCCUUCCUUAUUGUAGCUUUGUGCCAAGGGUCACUUGUGGUUCCCACUAGUAUAAGUCCUGGAGGCCCCAUUGUCCAUCCUGUGUGCCCUCCCCCAGCCUGUGGUUCGGUCCUUUGCCCUUGAAAGCACCAUAUGUGCUCUGCUGUGUUGAAUCAGACAUUUGCAAAGAGCCGGAAACCUUGAAAGAGAAACCAAAGGACACAGCAAGGUCACAGAGUAGAGUGGUUAAGAGCUGGCGGGCGAACCAAACAGGCCUGGAUUUGAAUUCUGUCUCCAUCACUUACUGUUAUGCAUCUGGGACAAGAUACCUAACCUCUCUGAGCCUCAGUUUACUCAACUGUAAACUGUCAGAGCCUCCGCUGACCCAGGCCGCCCGCCAUUCACAGCAAAGAGACAGAAGACCCAGGACAGCUUAAAAUGCCAGUCCUCCAGUCCAUUGAUCUUUAAGGAACAAUCAAAUUGAGCCAAAGGAAAGGAGUUCCGAUACUAGAAUUCCAGGCUUCUCUCUUGAGGGCCCAAGAGGUAUUAUGGGACCAGGCAGAAGAUCAUUUCUCCAGUGACACUUGAAGUCAGGAGUGUGAAGUCUUUAAAAUGACUUCCUACUGCCUUGCCCAUGGCGUACUAGAAAGAAACUGGGGCCAACUGGACCUGUGGACAUAGGAAGCGAGCCAGGAGGGGGAGGCCAAAGGAAAUUCGCGAAGAAGGUGCCGGAGUGCUGCUCCUCCAGAAUUUUUUACAUGCUUGUGGAUGCCACGGGGUUCACUCAAAGGGAAGAGAGGAAACCUAGCGAUUAGGAAUGCUGUCGUGAAAAGGCUCUGAGGAGGAGUAUCUUGGAAUUGGGUCAUGUGUAAAAUAUGUACUAAUCACAAGGAGAGCCCCUUUUGAGAGCUUCUUCUAGCCCCCAAGUAACUUCGUUUUACCUCCAAAUUAGAAUGCAAAUUAAGAACAAGAAAGGGAAAUUUUAAGUCACUCACCUAAAUCUACGAAAUUAAAUCCUCCACCUACACAACACUACAUUUCACCAGCAAAAUAGCAGGGGCAUUUAUUGCAGUCCCUGGUAAGUAUUCAAACACAAGAGCCUAGGGAGCUGCUACAAAAAGCACUGGCACUUGAUCGUAUCAGGCAGGCAAAUCAGGAAAUGGACAUUCUUAUAUGACCGAAAAUUAAAUUGAUGAAUUAAAGUGGUGUCUAUCAGCUACCAAGAGCUCAGCUGACCUGAUUCCCCUUGGAGGGGCCCUAAACACAUGAAGGAAUGACCAGGUGGACAGGUGGUGAAGGCAGCAAGUCAUAAAGGGGUUGACACAUCCCUGAAAUGAACUGGAAAUCUGCCGUUGGUGACCUCGGGUCCCCAUGCCCAACUCCUGACACACCGGUGAAAGGUGGUUUUGUCCUGCUGGGACCAGCUCUGCCCCCAACCAAAAUAAAUAUUGGAAGACUAUCAUUUUGAGGGAGUGGCAAAUUAUUUGCCUGCUUGAAGCAUCUUUGUUUGAGAUGCCUCUUUAAACCCAACUUUUUCAAACUGAGAGCAC
rnacentral:lncRNA from 1 species